rnacentral:tRNA from 3 species
GGAGAGGUGGCCGAGCGGUUGAAGGCACACGCCUGGAACGCGUGCAUACUCGAAAGGGUAUCGUGGGUUCGAAUCCCACCCUCUCCG